GGAGGUUUGAAAAUUAUCCACUUACCAAAUAAAAAACCAGAAAAUUUUCAGGUAAAACUAAAAGAAAAAUAAAAAAGAACUUAGUAAGAAGAAAUUAUGAUGCAUACAAAUUUGGGUUAUUUACGCUUUCUAAGACCAUCAAAGUCCUUCAACUGUGCUUUCAACCAAUUGUGCUCAUGCCGCAAUCUCUCCAGCUGCGCCUCAACCAUAAACAUCUCAUCCUUGAGAUGUUGCAUCCGCCUCUCCAACCAAGUCACAGCUUCAGCUGAUCUUUCGCCUAUUCCACCACCCAUGCCACCUAUGUAAUAGUGUCCCGGAGGAACAACAUGAACAUUUUGGGGUCUGUUCAAUAGGACAAGGAUGCUCACCUGCAUCAGGAAGAUCACAGCAAAUGCAACAACUAAGAUCAAGGUAAUUUGGCUCUGACUUUUCAAAUAUGUACAGAAUUUUGCCACAUAUUCUCCCAACAAAGAUGCAACUGUUGUAGCAUUCAUGAAAUUUCCUUGCACAAGGUUACCAACCCUAUCAUUAACAUCCAACGAACCAGACAUCUGUGCCAUCCUUCCAUGGUCAUUUAACUGGCUUGUUGACCUAUCUGAGGCUUCCCCAGUUUUCACUUCACUUAACAAAUUCGCUUCACCAUUCUGAAUCAAACUAGUAAAAGGACCUUCUUCUUGUCUUUCAAGGUUCUUCUGCUUCAACAUUUCAUGUGCCAUAUUUAUCCAUAUUGCAAAAGCUUCACGACACUCGCCCAAGGUAGACUGCACUAUUUUCCCUUUGAAAACAGUUUUCUUGCUGAAUGCCACAUCCACAUAUAUCCGCAAAAUACAGCCUUCUAUUUGAUUCAUCACCAUCUUUAACUACGUCCCACAGCCCCUCAACACGAAAAUAAUCUCCAUAAGGCACGUCAUUGAUUUCUUGAUAUGUCUUAAUAACCAAAUGACUGUUUCUGUAUACUUGAAAUUUCUGGACCUCCUGGCAGCUGC
rnacentral:misc_RNA from 1 species